UAUACAAAUAUAACUUUUAUUGAUCUUGAAGCCAAAAACGGAAGAUUUCUCGUUUUGUGUGAUUUAAUAAAAUCACAACUACUGUUCAAAAUGAAACUAAACCAGAAAGGAUGCCAUAAGUUUAGUUUUUUUAAAGGUGCUCAACAUUCUUCAGAAAAUUUAAUAUCUCGCGAAAAACUUUUCUGUGAAAUUCAACAUUUUUUUUUACAAGAUGCAAACAAGUCAAUUUUAGUAUUGUGUGGUAUGUCGGGUGUCGGAAAGACACAAAUCGCAAGAAAAUAUUGUGAAACUUAUUAUACCUUCUACAAAAACUUUGUUUGGAUAGACGCAGCAUUUGGAAAGUUACAAACUUCAAUGAGAAACCAUUGUCAAAUAUUAGGAUUCGAAGUUCGUGAUUCAAAAGGUGAUUAUUUUAGUAUAGAAGUGAUUGUUGAAAAAAUUCAUAACUUUUAUAUAAAAAAAAAGGUU
rnacentral:lncRNA from 1 species